CGCACUGGAGGGCCGAACCCACGUAAGUUAAAAAUUGCGGGGAUGAGCUGUGGGUAGCGGUGAAAUUCCAAACGAACUUGGAGAUAGCUGGUUCUCUCCGAAAUAGCUUUAGGGCUAGCCUCGUGGAGAGGAUAAUGGAGGUAGAGCUCUGUUUGGACUAGGGGCCCGUCAGGGGUUACUGAAUCCAGAUAAACUGCGAAUUCCAUAUAUCCAUACACGGGAGUCAGACUGCGAGUGAUAAGAUCCGUAGUCGAAAGGGAAACAGCCCAGAUCACCAGUUAAGGUCCCCAAAUCUAUGCUAAGUGGAAAAGGAUGUGGAGUUGCGUAGACAACUAGGACGUUGGCUCAGAAGCAGCCAUCAUUCAAAGAGUGCGUAAUAGCUCACUAGUCGAGUGGCGCUGCGCCGAAAAUUUACCGGGGCUAAGCAUAGUACCGAAACUGUGGAUGCAUCGAAAGAUGCGUGGUAGGAGAGCGUUCUAAGUGCGGCGAAGGUUAACCGAGAGGAUAAUUGGAGCGCUUAGAAGUGAGAAUGCCGGUAUGAGUAGCGAAAGACAGGUGAGAAUCCUGUCCGCCGAAAGACUAAGGUUUCCUGGGGCAGGCUCGUCCGCCCAGGGUAAGUCGGGACCUAAGGCAAGGCCGAGAGGCGUAGUCGAUGGAUAACAGG
rnacentral:rRNA from 1 species